CGGUUGAACCGGGCCCGUGGGUUCAACCGGACCCAAACACUUAAAUGAGGCAGCAGCUCUUUUCUUCCUCAUAAGCUGCUGCGACGCCAUUACAGCAAGGGAGGGAGAGGAGAUUCACAAACCCUCACCAUUCCUUCCAACUACCAUAACUUCCUCAUCCGGGCUCCGAUCGCCGCACCGUUUGCGGCCACGCGUCGGGCUCGUCGAGCUCUUCAAUUCUAUCCAAACAAAACAGGGUCCACUAGACUUGAUUUCUUGUGGGUAUUGCCCAAGGAUCAGUGGGUAAAGGUAGUGUGUAUGUGAAUGUUGAUGCUUGUUGGAGGCUUGUUGGUGAUCAAGCUUGGUUUGGGGCUGUUUGUUUGAGUUUGGAGGGGCUGUAAUUUUGAGUUGUGAGGCUGCCUUGGGUGAACUAAGUGAUCGGCCAAGAUGCAGGUCGAGAGGCUCCUCGCUAAGCGUCUGGAUUCUGGAAAGCGAAGUAGUCCUUGGGUAUAUUUUGGUUUCUAUUUGUAUAUAUGUAUGUAUAUGUGUAGCUUACUCUCCAAGUAACUUAUGUAUGCUGCUCCUCUUAGAGGUUGAGGGAGAGAUAGGAGUUUACUUUGGUAUUUUGGUAUAUUUUGGGGACACUUAUGUAUGUUUAUAUGUAUAUAUGUAUCCUCCGGCCAGCCUUAGCUUCGCAGGCUGAGUCAGAGGCUAGUUAUGCUGUUCUUUGGCUUUUCUU